CUAAAAGAGGUAUAAACAGAAUUUGAAAACUCAAUGGAGGAAGAUUCCAGAAUUUUCCUGCCACCGGAAGUCAACAUAGGCUCUCAGAAACACCUUUUAAAGUUUAAUUCCCUGGUUGGAACAUGGAAGGAUGGGCUUUCACAUUGCUUUAGUUAGGGCAAUGCUAACAAGAUAGAUCCAAAAAUGUGUAAUAACUCAAACCAGGUAGACAUUUACUUUUCAAUUAUGUAACUAUUUCAUUUUGGUGGCCCUGGUGGGUGGGGGCAUUCAUUUGGGAAUUCAUCUCUGGAGCUAAGGAUGUGAUCAUUUGAUUUGGGGAAUUUAGUAAGUAAGGAAGAUAGGGGGUGAAUGGAAAUUGGGUAGGUAACAAAUAGUUCCAAUGCUAUAAUUAUUCAUAUGCAGUUAGGUAAAUAUCCUAUUCCUUUUCAGAUAGUUUGAAGAUUUGAGUUUAUAUAUUUGUGGUGGCUGUCAAAGUGUGCCACUUAGAUAUCCUUCAAGAGAGAACUUAAUGUUUCCCGUCAGCUGGAAAGGAAAAAACAAGAAAUAUCAUGUAUAUGACGGUUCAUGGAUGGACCUAGAAGUGGUGUGUCUCCUUUGCUCACAUUCUACGCUCUGGAAUCCAGUGACAGGGCAUAUCCAACCAUAUGGGAGGUUGGGAAUUAGUAUCUAUGUGCCAGAGAAGAGGAGCACUUUCAGCAGUUCUAUCAUGCAGCAGACUGACGUGGGACCUUAGAGCUGAACUGAAAGUCUGACCAGCAUAUACAGUCUACCAGCCUGGAGGAUUUGCGCUUCAAUGACUGCCAAUAUGGAUCCAGAUAAAUGACGGCAAAAAGAAAAGUGAGCAGUGUGUCCUGAAUUUAGAGAUCAGGGAAAACCACACAGUGAGUCACCCACAGUCUCCCACCCCACUUCCUGUACAAAUAACAUUAAAAUUAACAGUAAGAGAAACCCCAGGUAUAUGUGUGAGAAGUGAGAAUUAGCAUAGAGGUUAAAAGCAUAGUCCUUGGAGACACACAGUCAGGUCCUGGGAUAAAAAUGGAAUCCUGUUGUAUCACAGAAUCCUCAUCUGCAAAACGAGGAUAAAAAUAAAAAUUUCAGAGGCAGUAGGUGCUCA
rnacentral:lncRNA from 1 species